rnacentral:rRNA from 1 species
UACGUAGGGACCAAGCGUUGUUCGGAUUUACUGGGCGUAAAGGGCGCGUAGGCGGCGUGACAAGUCACUUGUGAAAUCUCUGGGCUUAACCCAGAACGGCCAAGUGAAACUGUUGUGCUAGAGUGCAGAAGGGGCAAUCGGAAUUCUCGGUGUAGCGGUGAAAUGCGUAGAGAUGCGGAGGAACACCAGUGGCGAAAGCGACUUUCUGGUCCUUAACUGACGCUGAGGCGCGAAAGCAUGGGGAGCGAACGGG